GCGUGAGUGAUGAAGGCCUUAGGGUUGUAAAGCUCUUUUACCCGGGAUGAUAAUGACAGUACCGGGAGAAUAAGCUCCGGCUAACUCCGUGCCAGCAGCCGCGGUAAUACGGAGGGAGCUAGCGUUGUUCGGAAUUACUGGGCGUAAAGCGCACGUAGGCGGCUACUCAAGUCAGAGGUGAAAGCCCAGGGCUCAACCUUGGAACUGCCUUUGAAACUAGGUAGCUAGAAUUCUGGAGAGGUCAGUGGAAUUCCGAGUGUAGAGGUGAAAUUCGU
rnacentral:rRNA from 1 species